UACGGAGGGUGCGAGCGUUGUUCGGAAUCACUGGGCGUAAAGGGCGUGUAGGCGGUCCGCUAAGUCUGAUGUGAAAGCCCGGGGCUCACCCCCGGAAGGGCAUUGGAAACUGGCGGACUCGAGUCCCGGAGAGGAAGGUGGAAUUCCUGGUGUAGUGGUGAAAUGCGUAGAUAUCAGGAGGAAUACCGGUGGCGAAGGCGGCCUUCUGGACGGUGACUGACGCUGAGACGCGAAAGCGUGGGGAGCAAACAGG
rnacentral:rRNA from 1 species